rnacentral:rRNA from 1 species
AUUGAACGCUGGCGGCAGGCCUAACACAUGCAAGUCGAACGAGUGGCGGACGGGCGAGGAAUGUCUGGGAAACUGCCUGAUGGAGGGGGCUAACUACUGGAAACGGUAGCUAAUACCGCAUACCAUCAGAUGUGCCCAGAUGGGUGUGGCUUGUUGGUGUGGUAACGUCUCACCAAGGCGACGAUACCUAGCUGGUCUGAGAGGAUGACCAGCCAAGCUGGAACGGAGACACGCUCCAGACUCCUACUGGGUGCAGCGUGGGGGAAUAUUGCACAAUGGGCGCAAGCCUGAUGCAGCCAUGCCGGUUGUAUGAAGAAGGCCUUCGGGUUGUAAAGUACUUUCAGCGGGGAGGCGUUACCCGCAGAAGAAGCACCGGCUAACUCCGUGCCAGCAGCCGCGGUAAUAC